CUUUGUGAGAUAUGUGUUAUAUAUAACUAAUUAACUAUAUAUUAAAGUUUAUCGACGUUGAAUAGUAAAACAAAAAGUUUCUUCUCCAAUUGAGAUUUCCCACAUUUGUAACACCUGCUCUUGCCACUUCCUACUACUUUCUACAAAAUAUGGUUUCUCUGAACCUUCGCUACAUCCUUCUUUAUACAACACCUCCUGCUUACCUUGUUCGAUUGUUUUCUUUUCCUUUUCUAUUGUUUGUGUCAAAAUGGAAGGUGUCAUCCAAACCAAAGGGCUUUUAAACCUCCAAUUUCUUCCUCCCAUCAAACCCUCAAAUCAGAUUCUUUCUCAACAAAAUCCCAUAACAAUCUCUCAAACAAAGAAUCAAUCUGGUUCGUGGUUUCAAUGUUUUGUCUAAGCAAGCCCUUUUCUAUACUGUAAUUCUUCCAUUUAUCAGGUUUUUGGGGGUUUUCAGGGACCUUAGUUUUUUGGACCGUUCACGAUUGUGAGAACUUGAAGUUUUUGUUUGCUUUAUGUGAUGGCUGAGCUUUGAGGUAGUGUCAUGGUUUCAGUUUUGUUUUGCAGAUUUGCUAAUCAGUGUUGGCUCAAAUUCUGUUGAAUAAACAGUGAGAUGUUGGCUUGGUGGAUGGGUUGGCAGUUGUUGUGGAUGCUCCUUUUUGCUUCAUCUUGUUCCGAUUCUAGCCUUAUGUUUCAGGGGAGUUUUCGUGUUCCCGCCUUCCUUUAUUUGUAUUGAAUUCGCAAUUCCUUUGCUUAUUCAAUUUUUUGUUGUACAUCGAGGGCGAUGUACAAUUUAAGUGUGGGGAGGUGGUCUAUCGCUUGAGCUUUGUUGUCAAAAUAAAAAUAAUAAUAAUAAUAAUAAUAAUAAUAAUAAUAAUGCAAAGCUCUCUUUUAACAUUUUUUUUGGCAUACAAAUCAAAUCAACAUAAGUAUCUAAAUAAGCACCAAAAUUUUUGAUAAAUAAAUUGGGUUAGCGCAAAAAGGGGUUCACUCGUGUAAGGAAAAACCGUCAAGUAAUAUGUUUUUUUGUAUAAAAUUGAGCAUGAGAAAUCAAGCGAUUGACCUACUUGUUUGCCUUGCAUAUUUACCCAAUACGCCCGUUUCCGUGAGUUAUUUUUGAGCCUUAUAGCUUUAGGAUUAUUUUUGCUCAUGUUUUUGCGGGCAAAGAUUGAGUGUGCCGGAUAACUUUUGCGAUUUAGAACUUGUGUUAGGUAUACAUUUCGAGGCCACAAAGCGAGAAUACAAGCAUAGAAAUGAUUGAGGCAUUAGGAAACCUUUUCAUUUUAGCCAUUUUGAUUCACCUCCUUACCCAAAUUAUUCCCCUAGUCAAACCAAUUCGAGCCUUUCCCGUUCGUUUCUAGAAAACCCCAAAACAUUAGCCACUUAGCCAAAUUAGCCUUUUAUAUUUUUAACCCAUUUUUGGUUGGAAGCCCGGUUCGGUUAAUGAUUAACUUGUAGCUUUUGUAUAAUUUCUUCUUAGUUUUUAUAUCCCUCAUGAUCAAGAGUUUUUAGUUAAGUAGACAUACUUAGUUCUCUCCAAAGCAUGGGUUAUAAAAAAAACCCAAAGAAAUAUAGUUGAAAAAGCCUUAUCAAAUGGCUUUGUUAGAGCAAUUUUGGGAGUAGAAAAACAAAUAUUUGUUGGUUAGCUCUCGGUUAGUUAUCUUAUAGUUGUAUAGUUCUAUUUUUCUUAUGUUUUAAAUUAGUCAAACCGUCGGGUUACAACCGUUUUAGCCACUUUUCAAAAUCCACUUCCACACCCUUAACCCAAGCCAAGUUACAACCCAAUCAAGACCUCAUGAUUUAUGCUAUAUUUUUUCUGAGUGAUUAGAUUUGAUCCUUCCACAAGCUUAUGAUAUCGCAUGGUUAUCGUCUUGGCAUCGAGUGUUCUAAACAUACUCCACAAAUUGUAUGUGCACCUAUAUUUAGCCGAGUGUGUGUGAACAUUGUGAGGAUGCUUGGUGAAUUUGUAGGGAUUUCUAAGAUGGACCAUUGCUCAUAAACAUAUUUUACAUAUUUCUUUUCGGUUCUUUCUUUAUAUCGAGCACCCCUUGAUUGUUUUGACCCAAGUUAUUUGUUUGUGCUUAUGAAAUGCUAGUUGAGAUGAUUGCCAUUUAGAGAGUUUCGUUGAUUUUAGUUUGCUUGAGGACAAGCAAAGUUCAAGUGUGGGGAUGUUUGAUGUAUAAGAAUUUAUACAUCUUUUAAACGUCAAAUACGCCCCAUUUAUGCGAAAACUCUUUGUAUUUUCAUUGAUUUUGGUACUCAUUUGAGUUGUUUGUGAAAAUACAGGUUCGCGCUUCGGCCCGGUGAUGAAACGAAGGCUUUUGGAGCAAAAUGGAGUGAAAAUGAUGCAUUCCAGGAAAUUGCCAGAUACGGCACUACCGUGCCAUACACUGGCACGACCGCGCCAAGCCUUCCGACAUCGGCACUCUCAGCCAGCACUAGCAUCCAGCAGCCAAACCAGACUAGCAUCCAGCAGCCAAACCAUCGAAAUCAGGUGACGCACGACCGUGCCAACCACUCGCACGACCGUGCCAGGUCAAUUUCAGCCCCAGAUCAUCUUGUUUCCGAGAUCGACUCGAUCACAGCCGAGCACUAUCGGCUCGCACGACCAGGCCAUGCCCGAGCACGGUCGUGCUACCUCGGGAACUUUUGAGCGCAAUUUUUCCCAAAAUGGUAGCAUACUUGGUCAACAUUCAAGAAAGUGGGUCUGACACUUGCCAAGCACGACCGUACCAAAAGGUGGCAUGGUAGUGCCAAAAGCCCAGAGUUUAAAUACGAGUUCUAAGCUCAUUUGCAGGAGAGUUGGAGCAUUUUGGUGACUUUUUCUCUCAAGAAUCUGGUCUUGGAAGCUUGUUGGAGCCAAGAUGAAGCUUUGAAGAGGACUAAAUCACUUGAAGAUCUACUCAAACACCAUUUUAAUCUUGUCUUUAACUUGGUUAGCUUACUACAUUAUGAACAAUUUAUGUUUCUUUGCAUUUGAUUUGGUAGCCAUGAGCCUUAUGGGCUAAACAUUUGAGUUGUCUAAACUUUGUUGAAGCUAAUGAAUAUGUGAUAACAUGGAAGUAGAUGUGAUGAUUGUUCUUGUUAAUCUUCAUGUUGACA